UACGGGGGGGGCAAGCGUUGUUCGGAAUUACUGGGCGUAAAGGGCUCGUAGGUGGCCAACUAAGUCAGACGUGAAAAUCCCCUCGGCUUAACCGGGGAACUGCGUCUGAUACUGGAUGGCUUGAGUUCGGGAGAGGGAUGCGGAAUUCCAGGUGUAGCGGUGAAAUGCGUAGAUAUCUGGAGGAACACCGGUGGCGAAGGCGGCAUCCUGGACCGACACUGACGCUGAGGAGCGAAAGCCAGGGGAGCAAAGCGGG
rnacentral:rRNA from 1 species